AAGGAGAAUAUCGAUCAAAGGCAGUAUAAUAUUAUUGUAUCAUUUUCAGUAAUACGUUUUGUUUUUUUUGUUUGUAGUAGCCGUUUGGCACCCAUGUAAUCUGCGCCCUGAUACGUAAUACUCCUACAGCCUCAUUAAAUAGGUUCGUUUUCACACGGUUCGGUGUAGAACACGUCCUUUCGAGCGGACGGAAGAAAUAACCGGAAACGUUGACACUCAAAUCGUAAAAAUAAUACGCAAACAUAAACGCCUACGCGGCGAAGAAGGGGGGGGGGAUGGCUAUAGCCUCCUCCAUAGCCUUCCCCUCGGAUUUCGCAGCAAACCGGCGCGAUUUAUUAAACGCAAUAAUUUCCAGAAUUAUGUCCACGUUACGCACACAUAAUACGCUUAUACAUUCACACAAUAAUAAUAUGUACCGGCUGCUGCUGCUGCUGCUGCUGCUGCUGCUGCUGUUUAUCAGUGCGUUUAAACCGAAUACGCCUGUAAUAUUGUACAGACUGGCGCGAGUGAUUAUUAUAAUAACAGAGAACAGACACGAAGAUAAUAAUAUGUCAAGCAAACAGUAUAUAAUUAUUGUGCGCGUUAUAACGGACAAUGUUCGUAUUAUACAUUUAUACGUGUCCUCGUUAUAAUAAUUAUAAAAUUUAUUAUCGUGUAUAGCGUAUACUACGCUUCAAAACAUAAUAUCGGAAGUAUCAUUUUCUUGAUAAUAUUAUUAUUAUUAUACACAUGAUACAGCGGUUUGUACACGUGAUCACUAUUAUAAUAAUAUUUUUAUCUUCAAUGAUAAAUAUGUCACAUUAUAUUAUAUGUGUAUGUACAUAUUAUUUUAUCUCGCCGCGACACUGAGGGAGGAUGAGCUGCACAGCAGAUAGGAGAACCAUCUGUCUCGAAUUUGUGAUGUACCCGUUAUAAAUCGCAUUGUUUGCAUUUACAAUAAUAUUUUCAGGUUGUGUAAUAUUAAAUAUUUACACUGAUGAUAUUAUACAUUUACAUGUAUUUGAUUUCCUGAGCCGAAUUUAGAGGGUAUCGUGAGAAGGUAACAACCCCGCAACGAUAUUUUACAUUAUUGGCGAUUAAAUUUUCCCUCUUCUUCGUCUUUUUCAAUUCUACGAUCAUUGUUGCCACCGUUAAUACUUCGCAUCACUUCUACAAAAUUAGUACUGAACGUUAAUGAUUAAAUGUAGGCGGCAA